rnacentral:tRNA from 1 species
GGUUGGAUGGCCGAGUGGUUAAGGCGCCAGUUUUAGGCACUGGUGGGAGACCGCGUGGGUUCGAACCCCACUCCAAUCA